ACUCUUCUCAAGUAGUACCAAUAUCGUGUUGGGCUUUCCCUUAGAAUCGUUGACCCUGAAAGCGAAAAAACAAGACCAACAAGAAUCGGAAUCUCUUUAGCCGAAAACGUGGUUUCAGUAAAAAAAAAAAA